GUGCUCACUUUGGCAGCAUAUACACUAAAAUUGGAACAAUACAGAGAAGAUUAGCAUUGUCCCUGAGCAAGCAUGACACACAAAUUCAUGAAGCAUUUCAUAUUUUU
ensembl:snRNA U6 U6 spliceosomal RNA